UUAAGCGACUAAGCGUACACGGUGGAUGCCCUGGCAGUCAGAGGCGAUGAAGGACGUGCUAAUCUGCGAUAAGCGUCGGUAAGGUGAUAUGAACCGUUAUAACCGGCGAUUUCCGAAUGGGGAAACCCAGUGUGUUUCGACACACUAUCAUUAACUGAAUCCAUAGGUUAAUGAGGCGAACCGGGGGAACUGAAACAUCUAAGUACCCCGAGGAAAAGAAAUCAACCGAGAUUCCCCCAGUAGCGGCGAGCGAACGGGGAGGAGCCCAGAGCCUGAAUCAGUGUGUGUGUUAGUGGAAGCGUCUGGAAAGGCGCGCGAUACAGGGUGACAGCCCCGUACACAAAAAUGCACAUGCUGUGAGCUCGAUGAGUAGGGCGGGACACGUGGUAUCCUGUCUGAAUAUGGGGGGACCAUCCUCCAAGGCUAAAUACUCCUGACUGACCGAUAGUGAACCAGUACCGUGAGGGAAAGGCGAAAAGAACCCCGGCGAGGGGAGUGAAAAAGAACCUGAAACCGUGUACGUACAAGCAGUGGGAGCACGCUUAGGCGUGUGACUGCGUACCUUUUGUAUAAUGGGUCAGCGACUUAUAUUCUGUAGCAAGGUUAACCGAAUAGGGGAGCCGAAGGGAAACCGAGUCUUAACUGGGCGUUAAGUUGCAGGGUAUAGACCCGAAACCCGGUGAUCUAGCCAUGGGCAGGUUGAAGGUUGGGUAACACUAACUGGAGGACCGAACCGACUAAUGUUGAAAAAUUAGCGGAUGACUUGUGGCUGGGGGUGAAAGGCCAAUCAAACCGGGAGAUAGCUGGUUCUCCCCGAAAGCUAUUUAGGUAGCGCCUCGUGAAUUCAUCUCCGGGGGUAGAGCACUGUUUCGGCAAGGGGGUCAUCCCGACUUACCAACCCGAUGCAAACUGCGAAUACCGGAGAAUGUUAUCACGGGAGACACACGGCGGGUGCUAACGUCCGUCGUGAAGAGGGAAACAACCCAGACCGCCAGCUAAGGUCCCAAAGUCAUGGUUAAGUGGGAAACGAUGUGGGAAGGCCCAGACAGCCAGGAUGUUGGCUUAGAAGCAGCCAUCAUUUAAAGAAAGCGUAAUAGCUCACUGGUCGAGUCGGCCUGCGCGGAAGAUGUAACGGGGCUAAACCAUGCACCGAAGCUGCGGCAGCGACGCUUAUGCGUUGUUGGGUAGGGGAGCGUUCUGUAAGCCUGUGAAGGUGUGCUGUGAGGCAUGCUGGAGGUAUCAGAAGUGCGAAUGCUGACAUAAGUAACGAUAAAGCGGGUGAAAAGCCCGCUCGCCGGAAGACCAAGGGUUCCUGUCCAACGUUAAUCGGGGCAGGGUGAGUCGACCCCUAAGGCGAGGCCGAAAGGCGUAGUCGAUGGGAAACAGGUUAAUAUUCCUGUACUUGGUGUUACUGCGAAGGGGGGACGGAGAAGGCUAUGUUGGCCGGGCGACGGUUGUCCCGGUUUAAGCGUGUAGGCUGGUUUUCCAGGCAAAUCCGGAAAAUCAAGGCUGAGGCGUGAUGACGAGGCACUACGGUGCUGAAGCAACAAAUGCCCUGCUUCCAGGAAAAGCCUCUAAGCAUCAGGUAACAUCAAAUCGUACCCCAAACCGACACAGGUGGUCAGGUAGAGAAUACCAAGGCGCUUGAGAGAACUCGGGUGAAGGAACUAGGCAAAAUGGUGCCGUAACUUCGGGAGAAGGCACGCUGAUAUGUAGGUGAAGCGACUUGCUCGUGGAGCUGAAAUCAGUCGAAGAUACCAGCUGGCUGCAACUGUUUAUUAAAAACACAGCACUGUGCAAACACGAAAGUGGACGUAUACGGUGUGACGCCUGCCCGGUGCCGGAAGGUUAAUUGAUGGGGUUAGCCGCAAGGCGAAGCUCUUGAUCGAAGCCCCGGUAAACGGCGGCCGUAACUAUAACGGUCCUAAGGUAGCGAAAUUCCUUGUCGGGUAAGUUCCGACCUGCACGAAUGGCGUAAUGAUGGCCAGGCUGUCUCCACCCGAGACUCAGUGAAAUUGAACUCGCUGUGAAGAUGCAGUGUACCCGCGGCAAGACGGAAAGACCCCGUGAACCUUUACUAUAGCUUGACACUGAACAUUGAGCCUUGAUGUGUAGGAUAGGUGGGAGGCUUUGAAGUGUGGACGCCAGUCUGCAUGGAGCCGACCUUGAAAUACCACCCUUUAAUGUUUGAUGUUCUAACGUUGACCCGUAAUCCGGGUUGCGGACAGUGUCUGGUGGGUAGUUUGACUGGGGCGGUCUCCUCCUAAAGAGUAACGGAGGAGCACGAAGGUUGGCUAAUCCUGGUCGGACAUCAGGAGGUUAGUGCAAUGGCAUAAGCCAGCUUGACUGCGAGCGUGACGGCGCGAGCAGGUGCGAAAGCAGGUCAUAGUGAUCCGGUGGUUCUGAAUGGAAGGGCCAUCGCUCAACGGAUAAAAGGUACUCCGGGGAUAACAGGCUGAUACCGCCCAAGAGUUCAUAUCGACGGCGGUGUUUGGCACCUCGAUGUCGGCUCAUCACAUCCUGGGGCUGAAGUAGGUCCCAAGGGUAUGGCUGUUCGCCAUUUAAAGUGGUACGCGAGCUGGGUUUAGAACGUCGUGAGACAGUUCGGUCCCUAUCUGCCGUGGGCGCUGGAGAACUGAGGGGGGCUGCUCCUAGUACGAGAGGACCGGAGUGGACGCAUCACUGGUGUUCGGGUUGUCAUGCCAAUGGCACUGCCCGGUAGCUAAAUGCGGAAGAGAUAAGUGCUGAAAGCAUCUAAGCACGAAACUUGCCCCGAGAUGAGUUCUCCCUGACUCCUUGAGAGUCCUGAAGGAACGUUGAAGACGACGACGUUGAUAGGCCGGGUGUGUAAGCGCAGCGAUGCGUUGAGCUAACCGGUACUAAUGAACCGUGAGGCUUAACCUU
rnacentral:rRNA from 1 species